GGUACCUCAGUUGGAAAUGCAGAAAUCACCUGCCUUCUGUGUCGAUCUCGCUGGGAGCCGCAGGCCAGAGCUGUUCCUAUUUGGCCAUCUUGCCAGCAAAUCCCUAAUUUUUGCAUUUUUAAUGGAGAUGAGGUUUCACCAUGUUGGCCACCUGGUCUGGAACUCCUAACCUCAGGUGAUCUGCCUGUCUUGGCCUCCCAAAGUGCUGGGAUUACAGGCGUGAGCCACUGCACCCGGCCGAUAUAUUUUUCAAUAUGAACUACUGAUUUGCCAACUGUAGUUAAUAGAAAACCUGUUUUUUAAAUAUCUUGUAGAUGUCUCUCCUACACAUAUGAUCAAGGAAUUACCACCAAAAGAGAACAAUAGCACAGGAAAAGUAUUCCAAGCAGUGAUGUUGGAAAGACAUGAAAUCCAUGACAUCCAAGAUUUUUACUUCAGAGAAAUGCAGCAAAAUAUUCAUGACUUUGAGUGUCAGUGUCACAAUGAUGAGAGAAAUUACAGAGAAAUACCUGCAAUUAAAAUUAAAAACAUCACUGGAAGAAGAGAUCAAGGUGAUGGAAGGAAUGCAGGAAAUAAGCCAGUUGAAAAUCAGCUUGAACUAAGCUUUUGGUUGCAUCUGGCUGAACUGCAGGGAUUUCAAAUUGAAAGGAAAAUUUAUGAAUGUAAUCAAAUUGAGAAGUCUGUCACCCGUGGGUCCUCAGUUUCAUUACUUCAAACAAAUCUUCCUUGUGUCAACACCAGCAUUUCUAAUAUAUACAGGAAUGAUUUUAUGCAUCCUUCAUUACUCACACAAGACCAGAAAGCAUACAUUAGGGAAAAACCUUACAAAUGUAGUGAUUGUGGCAAGGCCUUUAAUCAGAGGUCCAACCUUACUACACAUCAGAGAAUCCAUACUGGACAGAAACCACAUAAAUGUGACAUAUGUGGCAAAGGUUUCAGGCGAAUUGCAAACCUAGCAAGUCAUCAUAGAAUUCAUACUGGAGAGAAACCUUACAGAUGUAAUGAGUGUGGCAAGACCUUCAAUCAGACGUUCAACCUUACUACACAUCAGAGAAUCCAUACUGGACAGAAACCAUAUAAAUGUGAUAGAUGUGGCAAAGGUUUCAGGCAAAUUGGAAACCUAGCAAGUCAUCAUAGAAUUCAUACUGGAGAGAAACCUUACAGAUGUAACGAGUGUGGCAAGACCUUUAACAGGAUGUUCCACCUUACUAGACAUCAGAGAAUCCAUACUGGACAGAAACCAUAUAAAUGUGAUAUAUGUGGCAAAGGUUUCAGGCAAAUUGCAAACCUAGCAAGUCAUCAUAGAAUUCAUACUGGAGAGAAACCUUACAAAUGUAGUGAUUGUGGCAAGACCUUUAAUUACAGGUCCCACCUUACAAGACAUCAGAGAAUCCAUACUGGACAGAAACCGUAUAAAUGUGAUACAUGUGGCAAAGAUUUCAGUCAAAAUUCAUACCUUGAAAAUCAUCAGAGAAUUCACACUAGAGAGAAAUCUUACAGAUGUAAUGAGUGUGGCAAGACCUUUAAUAAGAUGACCAACCUUACUACACAUCAGAGAAUCCAUACUGGACAGAAAACAUAUAAAUGUGAUAUAUGUGGCAAAGGUUUCAGGCAAAUUGGAAACCUAGCAAGUCAUCAUAGAAUUCAUACUGGAGAGAAACCUUACAGAUGUAAUGAGUGUGGCAAGACCUUCAAUAGGAUGUUCCACCUUACUAGACAUCAGAGAAUCCAUACUGGACAGAAACCAUAUAAAUGUGAUAUAUGUGGCAAAAGUUUCAGUCAAAAUUCAUACCUUGAAAAUCAUCAGAGAAUUCACACUGGAGAGAAAACUUACAAGUUGUAAUUAGUGUGGCAAAGCCUUUAGCGUGCGCUCAAACCUAACUAAACAUCAGGUCAUCCAUAAUGGAGAGAGACCUUAUAAAUGUAAUGAGUGGGACAAGGCUUUUUUUUCAGAGUUCAAAAUUGUAAAACAUCACAGGAUUCAUUCUGGAGAGAAACAAAACAAAAGUAAUGAAUGUAGUAAGGCAUUUAUUCAAAAUUCAAGUCUGGUGGACCAUCAGAGAACUCACACUGGAGAGAAACCUUACAAGUGUAAUGAGUGUGGUAAAACCUUUAUUGGGCAUUCAAGCCUAACUAACCAUCAGGUAAUUCAUACUGGAGAGAAACCUUACAAAUGUAAUGAGUGUGGAAAGGCUUAUGUGAAGUGGUCCCACCUUAGACAUCAUGAGAGUAUUCAAACUGGAGAGAAGCCAUACAAAUGUACCAAAUGCAGCAAGGCCUUUAGACAAUGGGCGGACAUCAGGAUUCACCAAAAAAUCUAUGCUGGAGAGAAACCUCACAAGUAUGAUGAGUGUGGAAAAACCUUUACCCAGGCCUCUCACCUCACUAUACAUCAGAUUAUCCAUACUGGAGAGAAACCAUAUGAAUAUGACAUAUAUGGCAAAGUCUUCAGUCAAAAUUCACAUUUCAAAAGUUAUCAUAGGAUUUGUACUGAAGAGAAGCCUUACAAAUGUGUGUGGCAAGGUCCUCAGUCAAAAUUCACACCUUGUAAAUCAUCAGAGAAUUCAUACUGGAGAGAAAUCCUACAGAUGUCAUGAAUGUGGCAAAGCCUUUACUCAAGGCUCACGCUUCAUUAAUCAUCAGAUAGUUCAUACUGGAGAGAACUUUCCAAAUGUACUGAAUGUAGCAAGGCUUUUAAGAAUGGCCCUAAACUCAGGACUCACCAAAUAGAUCAUACUUGUAAAUGCAAUGAAUGUAGCAGUGUUUUAAAGUAGUGCUUGCUACUCAUUAGAUAAGAGUAUCUAAUAUAUCUUGGGGCAAAGGCACACAAAUGCAAUGUCUGUGACAAGGAUUUUAUCUGAGGAUCAAAAGUUGGGGAACAGAAUAAUUCGUACUGGGGAGAAACCUUAGAAAUCCAAUGAGCAUGGGAAAAACUUUACCAUGAGUUCAAGUACUACAAGACAUCAGAGAGUUCAUAUUGAAGAGAAACCAUGUAAAUAUAAGGUAUGUGGCAGAGGCUCUUUUCAGGUUUCACAGUGCACUGGACAUCAGAGUAUACAUCUUUUGCCGGGCGCGGUGGCUCACACCUGUAAUCCCAGCACUUUCGGGAGGCUGAGGUGGGUGGAUCACCUGAGGUCAGGAGUUUGAAACCACCCUGGCCAACAUGGCGAAACGCUGUCUCUAUUAAAAAUACAAAAAUUAGCUGGGCGUGGUGGUAGGUGCCUGUAAUCCCAGCUACUCAGGAGGCUGAGGCACGAGAAUUGCUUGAACCUGGGAGAUGGAGGUUGCAGUGAGCUGAGAUCAUGCCACUGCACGCCAGCCUGGGCGACAGAGGAAGACUCCGUCUCAAAAAACAAAACAAAACAAAAAAACAGAGUAUACAUCUUUUAGAGAAAUCAAAGUAACAUGCAUGCUAAAGCUUUUUUUUUUUUUUUUUUGAGAUGGAGUCUUGCACUGUCGCCCAGGUUGGAGUGCAUUGGCCCGAUCUUGGCUCACCACAACCUCCGCCUCCUGGAUUCCAGCAAUUCUGCCUCAGCCUCCCAAGUAGCUGGGACUACAGGCGCGUGCCACCACACCCGGUUAAUUUUUUGUAUUUUUUAGUAGAUACGGGGUUUCACCAUAUCGGCCAGGCUGGUCUCGAACUCCUGACCUCGUGAUCUGCCUGCCUCAGCCUCCCAAAGUGCUGGGAUUACAGGCUUGAGCUCCUGCGCCCAGCCCAUGCUAAGUCUUUUACCCAGUGGUCAAAACUGGCACAACACAGGAUUUAUACUGGAGAGCAACCUCACAAAUGUAAUGAAAGUGGUAAGGCUUUUUAUCAAAUGUCCUUGUCUUUGGGGUCAUGAGAAAAUUCAUACAGAAUCUAUUAAAAAUGUACUAAACAUGGAAAGACCUUUAAGCAACAGUGAUGUGAUGAAGGUGGUAGUUUUUUAAAUGAACUCCCAUAAGAGUCUACACACCAUAGAACUCAUACCAGGAAUCACAAAGUCUCUAAAUUUCCAAAGUUAACUGGAAAUAUUACAAACUGCAGAAUAAUUCCAGGCCAAAAUAUGUUAAAUUCAUAACAUGAUGUAUAUCAAAGGAAAAAAGGACAUGUGGAAAUGACACAUUAUCUUCAGUGUAUAAAAUAUUCAUUUAUGUGAAGUUUCUUGGAAAGGCUACACUACUAUUACUGGUUUCCGUCUGAUGUUUGAGAUCUGUUGAUUUUAUGCUUUUCUUACAGGCCUUUCAUUAUGAUCUUUGGGAAGGAAUCAAUAAAAUGAUAGGGCCUACUUCAUUAGGUGUGGUUCAUUCCUAUUCAUGCUCCCUGGAAGAACAAGAAUGCUGAAUUUUGAAAUUUAAUAUUGUAUGAAUUAGCAUCAGGGAGAGGUGGAGAAAAAUACAAAACUAAAAGUCAUGCUUAUUGUGUUCAGUGUGCCCUUCUCCAGAGGGCCACUGGCUUAUAGGAAAGGAUUGCUGCUCUACCAGUUGACCAGGAGAUGGCACGCCAGGACAUUAAGACACUGGAGUUUUGUUUCGUUUUUUUUUUUUUUUUGAGAUGGAGUCUCGCUCUCUUGACAGGCAGGAGUACAGUGGUGCGAUCUCGGCUCACUGCAAACUCCGCCUCCCGGGUUCAAGUGAUUCUCCUGCCUCAGCCUCCCGAGUAGCUGGGACUACAGGCGUGUGCCACCACCCCCAGCUAACUUUUGUAUUUUUAGUAGAGACAGGGUUUCACCAUGUUAGCCAGGAUGGUCUCAAUCUCUUGACCUCAUGAUCCGCCCGCCUCCGCCUUCCAAAGUGCUGGGAUUACAGGCGUGAGCCAGUGUGCCCGGCCGACACUGGGCUUUUUAUGAGAGUGACAGAUUACUAGGACCUCAUUAUGUGGUAGAAGUAAUGUAGGGGAAAUGGCGAUUAUCUUUUUUUAAAAGCAAUAGCUGUUGUAUAUCAAUGAUAAAUGAAAAAUUAGUUAUUCUUGUAAAUUGAAGAAAGAAUGGUUAUCAUAGAGGGUAGUUCAAGUAAAAGAACCAGGGCUGGGUGUGGUGGCUCACGUUCUGUAAUCCCUGUACUUUGGGAGGCCAAGGCAGAUGGAUCUCUUGAGGCCAGGAGUUCGAGACCAGCCUGACCAACAUGGCAAAACCGUGUCUCUACAAAAAAUACAAAAAUUAGCCGGACAUCGUGGUAGAUGCCUGUAAUCUCAGAUAUUCAGGAGACCGAGGGGAAAAUCACUUGAACCCGGGAGACGGAGGUUGCAGUGAGCUGAGAUCGCACCACUGCUCGCCAGCCUGGGCAACAGAGUGAGACUCUGCCUCAAAAAAAAACCAAACCAAACCAAAGAACCAGAAUAGCAUGUGCACAUAUACACAGACGUUUCACAACUGGCAUUAUGUUUUGCUACUGUUUUAUUUACAAUGUAUCACAAGUUUUAUGCUUUAAUAAAAUUUAAUCAUAACUUCUAAUGAAUC
rnacentral:lncRNA from 1 species